UGCGUAGGCGGUGCUCCAAGUCUGUUGUGAAAUCUCCCGGCUUAACUGGGAGGGUGCGGCGGAAACUAGAGUGCUAGAGGGUGGGAUAGGUAAGCGGAAUUCCUGGUGUAGCGGUGAAAUGCGUAGAUAUCAGGAGGAACACCUGUGGUGUAGACAGCUUACUGGACCACUUCUGACGCUGAGGCACGAAAGCGUGGGUAGCAAACAGGAUUAGAUACCCUGGUAGUCCACGCCCUAAACGAUGCAUACUUGGUGUGAGCGAUUCAUUUCGUUCGUGCCGGAGCUAACGCGUUAAGUAUGCCGCCUGGGGAGUACGGUCGCAAGGCUGAA
rnacentral:rRNA from 1 species